AGUUAUCUACUUCCCAGAUACAAUGGUGGCACGGGCAUAAGGCGGACACUCCCAUUCAAAAGGUUUUGCUGUAAGAACAGAUGCUACUCACGCGCCAUCUCCCUGUUCCGGCCCCUCCCACCACGCCCUGGAGGCAUUUCGCUGUGUCUGUCCCAUCUUCCACACUGCCGCUGCGGGCAUGGUCCCACCGUAGGGACUCGGUGCCAGGCUUUUGGCCACCUCAAGUUUUUGGGUUU
rnacentral:lncRNA from 1 species